AUGAGAGUCGUUCUUCGUGGUCGUCGUUUUUCCUUCUGAUGCGAGCUUUUUCGGUGCGGUAGAAUCGGUUUUAAGAGGUGCUGCGAAAGAGUGUGAAGUAUUAGCAACAGCCAGAUAGAUCAGUGAAUAACAAAACUCGAAUGAGUUACAAAAAGUAGAGUGAGCUCGCGGAAAGGUGGAACUCACAGCAUCCGAACUCACAUCACCGAAGUGAGCGACGCGGAGACGAGGAAGAAUAUCCAUUCUCUGCCUCCGAUACGUUCGUUGUUAAUCGAGUAUUGGCCAAGGAGGUGAAGGAGGAAGACGAACAGACACACGAACAGUAAAGAGAGUGAAUCGGUGACGAAACAAGAGAGCGAAUCGAAAUUCGCUCCGGGAAGUGCGUGUUUGUUUGACCGGCUGGCUGGAAUCGGUGUAUUCCCGGAGGCCUCCUCCUCAUGCUCAUGCACACAGUGUUGUCUUUUGGGUUUGCCGCCGCCGGUGAGUCCCGUUAAGUGGUGUGUCUGCGCGCGUUUGUCCCUCGGUUGAUUUUGUGCUGCGGAAGGAAGGUGCCGGCGAAGCAAGUGAAGACAAGACGACUGACGUCGUCGUCGUCUGCCGUCAAACGACGGGACGAGUGAGUGCUCCUCAAUGGUCUUCUGUGAAUGAGCGAACAGAUAGCAAUCGCCAACUAGCGAGAGAGAGAGCAAGAGCGACGACGAUUGUGCGGUGGGAACGUAGUGUUCGUGCUCUUUUGGUGUCGUACUGUGAAUGGAGCAGCUUUGCAUGCUAUCAACAGAAACCGUGUGUUGAAUCGUGUCGUGUUUCUCGGGAAAAAAUUGGCCGUGUACGGCGAAAUCUAAAUCUUCGCUCAUCCUGCUCCAGGAGUUCGCGGGCGGCCUAUUUGUGUUUAGAGUGUUGUGUGAUAUCUAGGCAAGGAGUAGUGUCACGAAAAUAGGGGGAACAUUUCGUUCAACCCGAUUAAGAUUUUGCCCGCAACAUCGAAUGAAAAAAGAGUGAAAAAUUCAAGAGCUCAGUUUAGUUUUUGUUGGCCAGCAGGCUGAAGUUAUCGAAGAAAAAAAAAACACCGGCCGUGCUGAAAUUCAAGGUGCUUGAAGCAGAAAUUCGCGUGCGUACCACACCCCGAAAAAAUUAAAGAAUAUUAUCGACACUCGGAUCGGUACUAUACCCAACGAAGCAGUACGUGAG